rnacentral:rRNA from 1 species
GGAUCCAGACUUUGAUUAUGGCUCAGGAUGAACGCUAGCUACAGGCUUAACACAUGCAAGUCGAGGGGCAGCGGGAUUGAAGCUUGCUUCAAUUGCCGGCGACCGGCGCACGGGUGAGUAACGCGUAUCCAACCUUCCGUACACUCAGGGAUAGCCUUUCGAAAGAAAGAUUAAUACCUGAUGGUAUGAUGAGAUUGCAUGAUAGCAUCAUUAAAGAUUUAUCGGUGUACGAUGGGGAUGCGUUCCAUUAGGUAGUAGGCGGGGUAACGGCCCACCUAGCCAACGAUGGAUAGGGGUUCUGAGAGGAAGGUCCCCCACAUUGGAACUGAGACACGGUCCAAACUCCUACGGGAGGCAGCAGUGAGGAAUAUUGGUCAAUGGACGAGAGUCUGAACCAGCCAAGUAGCGUGAAGGAUGAAGGUCCUACGGAUUGUAAACUUCUUUUAUAAGGGAAUAAACCCUCCCACGUGUGGGAGCUUGUAUGUACCUUAUGAAUAAGCAUCGGCUAACUCCGUGCCAGCAGCCGCGGUAAUACGGAGGAUGCGAGCGUUAUCCGGAUUUAUUGGGUUUAAAGGGAGCGCAGACGGGUCGUUAAGUCAGCUGUGAAAGUUUGGGGCUCAACCUUAAAAUUGCAGUUGAUACUGGCGUCCUUGAGUGCGGUUGAGGUGUGCGGAAUUCGUGGUGUAGCGGUGAAAUGCUUAGAUAUCACGAAGAACUCCGAUUGCGAAGGCAGCACACUAAUCCGUAACUGACGUUCAUGCUCGAAAGUGUGGUAUCAAACAGGAUUAGAUACCCUGGUAGUCCACACGGUAAACGAUGGAUACUCGCUGUUGGCGAUAUACUGUCAGCGGCUUAGCGAAAGCGUAAAGUAUCCCACCUGGGGAGUACGCCGGCAACGGUGCAACUCAAAGGAAUUGACGG